ACCGUUAAAAUUAUUUAUCAAUAUUUAAUUGCCCAAAAUUUUAAUACGUAUAAAAAGUUAAACAAUUAUUAUUUUUAGUCUUGUUACAAAGUGUGCUUUGAAAUUUCGAAUGUUAACUAUUCUGCACAUAUAAAAGUACUUAUUAAAUUAUUUAAUAGUUUUAAUAUUAUUUUAUGGAUCAAAUACAUUUUGCAGUUUUACAUUAAAACCUUUAUACUAUCACAUUGUGUUAGACAAUUUUAUUGUAUUAAAUUUAUGAGUAAUAUGUCCAUGGGAUUAUCAGAUUGAACACAAUUUCAUUGAAAAUAUUCUUGAAAAUAUGUUAGAACAAUAAUGUACCUACCUAGUACCUACCUAUCAUUAGUUGGUAAUUUUAAAUCUAUAGAAAAUCAAAAAACAAAACAUCAAAUAACAUUUUAAAUUUCUCAAAACUUCUAAUUGCUUGACAAGAAACAUUUGCAAAAUAAAAUAUAAUGAAGAUUUUAAUCUAAUAGCAAAACAAUAUUUUUGUUACAAUGAUAGUCUAAGCUAAGCAGUUGUCAACAUUGAAUUAUUUUUGGUGAGGUUGGAAUUGUUUUCAAGUUUGAUGUAUAAUCAAUAACCAUAUUACUAUUGCUUGGUACCUUGCUAUUUUAAUAGUACUAACACUCAUUAGUUAUACCUAUCAUACCUAGUGUAUACACAUGUAUGUGUACAUACAACCAUCAGAAGACUAAUAAUUGUGUCCAGUUCAUCUCAAAUAUAAAACAACAUAAAUCAAAUGUUUGAUUUUAUAUAUAUAUAUAAAAAAAAAUGUUAAUUAUUAAAUUAUAGGCUAUAGUUCAUAAAAAAAAAUAUUGUUAGCUGUAUUAGCCAGGUACCUA